rnacentral:rRNA from 1 species
CCUACGGGUGUCAGCAGUGGGGGAUAUUGCACAAUGGAGGAAACUCUGAUGCAGCGACGCCGCGUGAGGGCAGACGGUCUUCGGAUUGUAAACCUCUGUCUUUGGGGAAGAAAAUGACGGUACCCAAAGAGGAAGCUCCGGCUAACUACGUGCCAGCAGCCGCGGUAAUACGUAGGGAGAGAGAGUUGUCCGGAAUUCAUGUGUGUAAAGGUAGCGUAGGAGGGCGAGAAAGUUGAAGGUUAAAUAUACCGGCUUAACUGGUAGCUGCGUUCAAAACUUCUUGUCUUGAGUGAAGGAGAGGUAGGCGGAAUGCCUAGUGGAGCGGUGAAAUGCGUAGAUAUCGCGCAGAACCCCGAUGGCGAAGGCAGCGUACCGGCUCCACACUGACGCUGAGGCACGAAAGCGUGGGUAUCGAACAGGAUUAGAUACCCCAGUAGUC